AACAUACUGUAACUGCAUAGGAACAUCAGGAAAACACACUUGACCUGUAUAACAAUUCUCUGUAGGGCAAAAAUAUAUAGAUUCUUUAUGAAAAUCAUGUGCUAAACAUACGAACCAAACACUGCACUUUUUGUCUCAUAAGUGUAAAAAAAGGAAGCUUAGCCUCUUCUGUUUCACGUACAAACAGUCCAGUGAUUUAUAUCGGGGGUAGGUGGGAGUGGGGAGGUGGGAGAGUUUCAGAAUCUGAAUUCUUCAGAAUGUGAAUUGUCUUUUUCUUGUGUUGCACGUAGGGUGGGGACUCUCGUGGAAAGGCUAGAUGAUGGAGUCACGUGCUCCCUUCCCGUUCACUAGCUGCUGAUUGGCCAACUGCUCCUGCCAGCUGUCCCUGCACUCCAGCUUCCUACCAUAUGCUCCAGAAUAACGUCUGGAAAGUGAGCCCCAUCCAUCAAGUUUGUCACACCUUGCACUCAAUCUGCUACCUUCUCUACAGUAUAUCUGCCAUUGGUUGCCAAAAAUGCUUAGUUCCCUCUUCUGAGCGAGUUCCAUUGGGCAAUCAUGAAUUUCUUGUGGGAAGAGGUGAAAGAAUACAAGAGAGCCUGUCGUGAUGCUGAUGUCCAUGCCAGUCUUGAGCACCCACCACGAGCUCGCAUCGAUGCUAUUUCUUAGGUCUGUUGAUCUGCGCGUACAGAGGCUCUGGCUCCUGUGGAUAAAGGAACAAAAUUUGUCCACGUCUCUGCCCUGCUUCAAAUCCUUCAGAGGCUCCCCAUCACCCACAGGGAUGAUCUUUCUGAAAUGGAUUUGGCCAUGCCAGUCUCCUGCCUGAAACAGCCCUCCUGGCUCCUUGUCACUCAAAGGAAAAGGCAAACUCCUCAAGACUGCACAUAAUGCCCACCUU
rnacentral:lncRNA from 1 species